rnacentral:tRNA from 1 species
UCCCUGGUGGCUCAGAUGGUAAAGAAUCUACCUGCAAUGUAGGAGACCUGGGUUCGAUCCCUGGGUUGGGAA